rnacentral:rRNA from 1 species
GACGAACGCUGGCGGCGUGCUUAACACAUGCAAGUCGAACGGAAAGGCCCUGCUUUUGUGGGGUGCUCGAGUGGCGAACGGGUGAGUAACACGUGAGUAACCUGCCCUUGACUUUGGGAUAACUUCAGGAAACUGGGGCUAAUACCGGAUAGGAGCUCCUGCUGCAUGGUGGGGGUUGGAAAGUUUCGGCGGUUGGGGAUGGACUCGCGGCUUAUCAGCUUGUUGGUGGGGUAGUGGCUUACCAAGGCUUUGACGGGUAGCCGGCCUGAGAGGGUGACCGGCCACAUUGGGACGGAGAUACGGCCCAGACUCCUACGGGAGGCAGCAGUGGGGAAUAUUGCACAAUGGGCGGAAGCCUGAUGCAGCAACGCCGCGUGCGGGAUGACGGCCUUCGGGUGGUAAACCGCUUUCGCCUGUGACGAAGCGUGAGUGACGGUAAUGGGGAAAGAAGCACCGGCUAACUACGU